UGACAUUGAUUCGUUCGAAAUUUACACUCUCGGGGCAUAAUAGAACAAUAUAAUUAGUUUUUACUCUUUGUUCGAUAGAAUGAGAAAAAAAACUCCUUGCAAAUUUAUACUGUUAGGGCGCAACUGAGUAGUCUAAUGUUGUUCCGGUUUUGGUUCUUGUGAACGUUGACAUCGAUUCGUUCCAAUAUUACACUCUCGGGGCAUAAUAGAACAAUAUAAUUAGUUUUUAAUCUUUGUUUAAUUUAAUGAGAAAAAGUACUCGUCGCAAAGUUAUAUUGUUACGGCGCAACUGAGUGUCUAAUGUUGUUCCUGUUUUGGUUCUAAUGAACGUUGACAUCGAUUCGUUCGAAAUCUACAUUCUCGGGGUAUAAUAGAACAAUAUAAUUAGAUUUUACACAUUGUUCGAUUGAAUGAGAAAAAGUACUCGUUGCAAAGUUAUAUCGUUACGGCGCAACUGAGUUGUCUAAUGUUGUUCCGGUUUUGGUUCUUGUGAACAUUGAUAUCGAUUCGUUCGAAAUUACACUCUCGGGGCAUCAUAUAACAAUAUAAUUAGCUUUUUCUCUUUUUUCGAUAGAAUGAGAAAAAGUACUCGUUGCAAAGUUAUAUUGUUAUGGCGCAACUUAGUCUAAUGUUGUUCCGGUUUUGGUUCUUGUGAACGUUGACAUCGAUUCGAUCGAAAUUUGUACUCUCGGGGCAUAAUAGAACAAUAUAAUUAGCACUUACUCUUUGUUCGAUAGAAUGAGAAAAAGUACUCGUUGCAAAUUUAUACUGUUAGGGCGCAACAUAGUAGUCUACUGUUGUUUUGGUUUUGGUUCUUGUGAACGUUGAGAUCGAUUCGUUCUACUAUUAAACUCUCAGGGCAUAAUAGAAAAAGUACUUUUUGCAAAGUUAUACUGUUAGGGCGCAAUUGAGUUUUCUUAUGUUGUUCCGGUUUUGGUUCUUGUGAACGUUGACAUCGAUUCGUUCGAAAUUUACACUCUCGGGGCAUAAUAGAACAAUAUAAUUAGCAUUUACUCUUUGUUCGAUAGAAUGAGAAAAAGUGCUCGUUGCAAAUUUAUACUGUUAGGGCGCAACAUAGUAGUCUAAUGUUGUUCUGGUUUUGGUUCUUGUGAACGUUGACAUCGAUUCGUUCUAAUAUUAAACUCUCAGGGCAAAAUAGAACAAUAUAAUUAGGUUUUACUCUUUGUUUGAUUAAAAGAGAAAAAGUACUCGUUGCAAAGUUAUACAGUUAGGGCGUAACUGUGUAGUUUAAUGUUGUUCCGGUUUUGGUUCUUGUGAAUGUUGACAUCGAUUCGAUCGAAAUUUGCACUCUCGGGGCAUAAUAGAACUAUAUAAUUAGAUUUUACUCUUUGUUUGAUUGAAUGAGAAAAGUAUUUGUUGCAAUGUUAUACUGUUAGGGCGCAAGUGAGUAGUCUAAAGUUGUUCCGAUUUUGGUUCUUGUGAACGUUGACAACGAUUCGUACGAAAUUUACACUCUGGGGCAUAAUAAAACAAGAUAAUUAGGUUUUAGACUUUGUUUGAUUGAAUGAGAAAAAGUACUUGUUGCAAAGUUAUACUGUUAGGGCGCAAAUGAGUUGUCUUAUGUCAUUCCGGUUUUGGUUUCUUGUGAACGUUGACAUCGAUUCGUUCGAAAUUUACGCUCUCGGGGCAUAAUUGAACAAGAUAAUUCGGUUUUACUCUUCGUUCGAUUGAAUGAGAAAAAGUACUCGUUACAAAGUUAUACAGUCAGGGCGCAACUUAGUAGUCUAAUGUUCUUUCGGUUUUGGUUCUUGUGAACGUUGACAUCGAUUCGUUCGAAAUUUACACUCUCGGGGCAUAAUAGAACAAUAUAAUUAGCUUUUACUCUUUGUUCGAUAGAAUGAGAAAAAGUACUUGUUGCAAGUGUAUGUAGGGCUCGUAACAGAGUUUCUUAUGUUGUUCCGGUUUUGGUUUUGUGACGUUCAAUCGAUAGUAUCGAUUUACACUUCGGGGCAUAAAGACAAUAUAAUAGCAGUUUACUCUGUUGUUCAGAUAGAAUGAGAAAAAGUACUCUUUGCAAUUUUAUGUUUAGGUCGCAACAGCGUAGUCCUAAUGUUGUUGUUAUAGCUUUUGUUUUAGGUGAGCGUUGACAUCGAUUGUUCCAAUAUUAUUACUCCGAUGGGCAUAAUAGACAACUAUAAUUUGUUUUACUCUCGAUGCAGUUUAUGGAAAUGUACUGUUACAUUGGUUAUUAAAGUUGGUGCGCAAGUGUGUAGUUAAUGUUGUUCCGUUUUAUGUUUUGUGACAUGAAUACAUCGAUUCGAUGAAAUUUUGCACACUCAGGGCCCCUAAUAGAACAAUUGAAUAAGGUUUUCGUUUUGUUUCGAUAUUGAAUGAGAAAAAGUACUUGUUGCCAAAGUUAUUACUAGUUUAGGCGGCAACUGAGUAGUCUAUGUGUGUUCCGAUUUUGGUUCUUGUGAACGGUGAUAUCGAUUCGUUUCGAAGUUUCACUCUCGGGGUGAAUAAGAACAAGAUAAUUAGUUUUAUCUUGUUUCGAGUCGAAUGAGGAAAAGUAUCGUUUGCAAAGUUCUACUGGUGUAGGGCGCCCAACUUAGUUGUCUAUGUUGUUAUUUCGGGUUUUGGUUCUGUGAACGUUGACAUCGAUUCUGUUCGAAAUUUCACUCGUGCCGGCAUAAUUAGGUAAAGAUAUAUUAGCCCUUUAAUUUUCGUUCUCAGAUUAGGAAAUGAGAAAAAGUAUUGCUUGCAGAUUUAACGUCAUUUAGGACGCAACAGAGUGUUAAUGUUGUUUGGUUUUGGUUCUGUGAACGUUGCAUCGAUUCGGUCGAACUUUGUCUCUCGUGAUAAGUAGAACAAAUUAAUUACUGUUUACUCUUUGUUCGAUUUGAUGAGAAAAAUACACGUUGCAAGUUUACUGUUACGGCGCAACUGAGUAGUUAAUGCUUGUUCUGGUUAUCUGGUUCUUGUGAAAAGUUGACAUCGAUUCGUUCGAAUUUACGAGUCUGUGUAUGAUAAUAGAAACAUAUAUUGUUUUUUAUCUUUGUUCGAUAGAGAAGUGAGAAAAAGUACUUGGUAGCAAGUUAUACUGGUUUAUGGGCGCAAGCGAGAUAGUUUAAUGUUGUUCGAUUUUGGAUUUUCGUGAAUUUCAACUCAGUUUCGUUCCUGAUUACACUCUUAGGGAUAAAGUACAAUUAUUAGCGGUUAUUUACUCUUCGUUUGCUUGAAUGGAAAAGUUAUCGUUGUGUUUUAAAAGUUAUUACAGUUAGGUUGCGCACUAUGAAGUUUAAUGUUGUACCGGUUUGGGUUCGUAAGUGACGUGACAUGAGUUCGAUCGAUUCUUGCACGUCUCGGGGGCAUUAAUAGAAACAAUUAAUUAGCUUUUUAUCUUGUUCGAUUAGGAUCAGAAAAGUAUUUGUUGCAAUUUAAAACUGUUACGGAUCACAAUGAGUUAGCUUAAUGUUGUUAUGGGUUUUGUUUUGUGAACGAUGAAUCGAUCAUUCGCUCGAAGAUUGUGUUUCUCUCGGGGCAUAAUAGAACAUAUUAUUAGCUUUUUACUCUUUGUUCGAUUGAUGAGAAACAAUACAGUUGCGAAAUGUUAUACUGUUACGCGCAAUGAGAGUAGUUAAUUUGUUUAGGUUUGGUUCUUGUGAAAGUGUAAUCGAUUCGUUUUCGAAUUUAACGUCUGUUGAUAUUAUAAGACAAAAUAGUUUUUACUUUUGUUCGGAUAGGUGAGAACAGAUACUUGUUGAAGUUAUACUGUUUAGCGGCGCACGAGUAGUUAAUGUUUGUUCCGGUUUUGAGUUCUUAGUGGUGAACUUCGACUCGUUUCUUCCUAUACACUCUUGGGGGCAUAAUUUGAACAAUAUAUUAGGUUUUUACUCUUCGUUUGCUUGAAUGAGGAAAAGUAUCUUUUGUAAAGUUAUACAGUUAAGGGACGCCAACUAUGCAGUUUAAUGUUGUUUCGGUUUGGUUAGUCACAAAACGUGACUUUGACAUCGCAGUCGAUUCGAAAUUUGCACAACUUCUUGGGGCAUAAUUUGAACAAUAUAAUUAGGGUUUUACUAGUUUUGUUCGAUUUGAAUGAGAAAAUGUACUUGCUUGCAAAUUUCAUACUGUUAUGGGACCGCAAAGAGUAUUAGGUAUAAUGUUGUUCCGAUUUUGGUUCUUUGUGACAGAUUGACAUCGCGAUGCGUUCAAUAUUAAACUUCUCGGGCGCAUAAUAGAAAUAUUUAUUAGGUUUACUCUUGUUUGAUUUUUAAUGAGAAAUUACACGUUGCAAGUUAUACUGUUACGGCGCAACUGUGUAGUUUAUGUUGUUCGGUUUUGCGUUUUUUUGAAGUUGACACGUUCGUAUCGAAAUUUACAUCGGGAUAUAAUAGAACAAUAUAAUUGUUUUUACUCUUAGUUUUCGAUAGGCUGAGGCAAAAGAGUAUUGUUGCAAGUUAUAAUCGUUAGCGCAACGAGUAGGUUUAAUUUGUUCGAUUUGGGUUCUUGUGAACUUGACAUCGUUUCGUUCCAUAUUACACUCUCGGGGCGAUUAAAAAAAUAAAAAUAAACAAUAUACAAAUAUAAUAUAAAAUAAUAAAUAAAUAAUAUCAAUUUAAAAUAUAUAAUAAAUAAAUAAAAAUAUAUAAAAAACAAUAAAUAAUAAAAAAUAAAUAAACAUAAAUACAAAUUAAAUAAAAAAAAAUAUACACGAAUAUAAUAAGAUCAACCUAACACAACAUAAAAAAUUAAAAUAGAACUUAUACAUAAAUCACCGAAUCAUAUAAUUAGUUUUUACUAUUUGUUUGUUUGAAUGAAGAAAAAGUUACUCGUGCAAUGUUGUACGUUUAGGGCGCAAUAGAGAGGUCUAUGUUGUUCCGGUUUUAGUUCUUGUGAACGUUGACUCGAUUCGUUCGAAAUUUGCACUCUCGGGGCGUAAUAGAACAAGAUAAUUAGUUUUACUCUUUAUUCAAUUUGAAUGAGAAAGUAACUCGAUUGCCAAAGCCUAUAUGUUAGGGCGCAAACUUAGUGAAUAGUCUAUGUUGUUCUCGGUUUUGUCUACUUGGAACGCCUGACAUCGAUUGUUUUGAAAAUUUAUACUCUCGGCAAGGCAUUACGUUAGAACAUGAUAAUUGCAUUUACUCUUUGUUCGAUGAAUGAGGAAAACUACUCGUUGCAAUUUAAAUGUAGAGCGCAAAUCAGCAUAGUGUUAAUGUUGUUUGUAGUUUGAGUUUUUUGCGACGUUGACAUCGAUCGCCUCCAAUAUAAACUUCGGAGGCUAAUAGAAACAAAUAUUAUUAGGGUUUUACUCUUGCGUUUGAUUGUAUGAGAAAAGUACACGUCGGCAAGUUACUGUUACGCGCGCAACUGAGGUAGCUAAUGUUGUUCCGUUUUGGUUCCUGUUGAGUGGACAUCGAUUCAUUCGAAAUUUACCUAUCGGAUUAUCAAAAGAACAUAUAAUUUGAUUUUACUCUUUGUUUCGAUAUAGAGUGAAGAAAAAAGUACUUGUUGCAAAGUUUUAUGUUAGGGCGAACGAGUGUCUAUGUUUGGUAUCGAUUUUGUUUUGUAAACUAUUGACAUCGUUUUCGUUCAAAUUAUUACACUUCGGGGCAUAACUUAGAACCUAUAUUUACGGUUUUUACUCUUUGUUUGUGUUGAAUGAGAAAAAAUACUGUUGCAAGUUAGAUGUUAGGGGGAACUGAGUGGUCUUUGUUGUUCCGUUAUGGUUUCUUUGAAUGUUGACAUCUGAUUCGUUCGAAAUUUACACUCUCGGGCAUUAUAGAACAAUUAUCGCAUCAUCUUGUUGAUAGAAUGCAAACGCUCUCUCUCUCGCCAAAGUUAUUCUUUUAGGGCGCAACUGAGUUGUCUUAUUUUGUUCCGAUUUUUGGUUCUUUGUGAUACGUUUGAGAUCGAUCGUUCGAAAAAAUUUAUUCUCUCGGGGAAUAAUAGAAUAAUAUAAUUAGAUUACUUUUGUUCGAUAGAUGAGAAACAAGAAUGCCGUUUGAAAAUUUAACUGUUAGGGCGCCAACAGAGUAGUAUAAUGUUGUUCUGGUUUUGGUUCUUGUGAACGUUGACAUCGAUUCGCUCCAAUAUUAAACUCUCGGGCAUAUAGAACAAUAUAAUUAGGUUUUACUUUCCGAUUGAUUGAAUGGAAAGUUCGUACUCGUAUGCCAAGUGUAUAAGUUAGGCGUGAACUGUGUAUGUUAAUAUUGUUCCGGUUUUGGUUCUUGUGAACGUUCACAUCGAUUCGUUCGAAAUUUACACUCUCGGGGCAUAACAGAACAAUAUAAUUAGCAUUUACUCUUUGUUCGAUAGAAUGAGAAAAAGUACUCUUUGCAAAUUUAUACUGUUAGGUCGCAACAGAGUAGUCUAAUGUUGUUCUAGUUUUGGUUCUUGUGAACGUUGACAUCGAUUCGUUCCAAUAUUAUACUCCGAGGGCAUAAUAGAACAAUAUAAUUAUGUUUUACUCUUCGAUUGAUUUAAUGAGAAAAUGUACUCGUUACAAUGUUAUACAGUUAGGGCGCAAUUGUGUAGUUUAAUGUUGUUCCGGUUUUGGUUUUUGUGACAUUGACAUCGAUUCGAUCGAAAUUUGCACACUCGGUGCAUAAUAGAACAAUAUAAUUAGGUUUUACUCUUUGUUCGAUUGAAUGAGAAAAAGUACUUGUUGCAAAGUUAUACUGUUAGCGCGCAACUGAGUAGUCUAAUGUUGUUCCGAUUUUGGUUCUUGUGAACGUUGAUAUCGAUUCGUUCGAAAUUUUCACUCUCGGGGCAUAAUAGAACAAGAUAAUUAAGUUUUACUCUUUGUUCGAUCGAAUGAGAAAAAGUACUCGUUGCAAAGUUCUACUGUUAGGGCGCAACUUAGUAGUCUAAUGUUGUUUCGGUUUUGGUUCUUGUGAACGUUGACAUCGAUUCGUUCGAAAUUUACACUCUCGGGGCAUAAUAGAACAAUAUAAUUAGCCUUUACUCUUUGUUCGAUAGAAUGAGAAAAAGUACUUGUUGCAAAUUUAAACUGUUAGGACGCAACAGAGUAGUCUAAUGUUGUUCUGGUUUUGGUUCUUGUGAACGAUGACAUCGAUUCGGUCGAAAUUUGUACUCUCGGGGCAUAAUAGAACAAUAUAAUUAGCUUUUACUCUUUGUUCGAUUGAUGAGAAAAAAUACACGUUGCAAAGUUAUACUGUUACGGCGCAACUGAGUAGUCUAAUGUUGUUCUGGUUUUGGUUCUUGUGAAAGUUGACAUCGAUUCGUUCGAAAUUUACAGUCUCGUGAUAUAAUAGAACAAUAUAAUUAGUUUUUACUCUUUGUUCGAUAGAGUGAGAAAAAGUACUUGUUGCAAAGUUAUACUGUUAGGGCGCAACCGAGUAGUCUAAUGUUGUUUCGAUUUUGGUUCUUGUGAAUUUCAACAUCGUUUCGUUCCACUAUUACACUCUUAGGGCAUAAUAGUACAAUAUAAUUAGGUUUUUACUCUUCGUUUGCUUGAAUGAGAAAAAGUACUCGUUGUAAAGUUAUACAGUUAGGGCGCAACUAUGAAGUUUAAUGUUGUUCCGGUUUGGGUUCGUGUGAACGUUGACAUCGAGUCGAUCGAAAUUUGCACUCUCGGGGCAUAAUAGAACAAUAUAAUUAGCUUUUACUCUUUGUUCGAUAGAAUCAGAAAAAGUAUUUGUUGCAAAUUUAAACUGUUAGGACACAACAGAGUAGUCUAAUGUUGUUCUGGUUUUGGUUCUUGUGAACGAUGACAUCGAUUCGCUCGAAAUUUGUUCUCUCGGGGCAUAAUAGAACAAUAUUAUUAGCUUUUACUCUUUGUUCGAUUGAAUGAGAAAAAAUACACGUUGCAAAGUUAUACUGUUACGGCGCAACUGAGUAGUCUAAUGUUGUUCUGGUUUUGGUUCUU
rnacentral:lncRNA from 1 species